UUGGUAAUUUAGUUAUUUGAAUCUCUCCUGUAUGGUUGGUCAGCUUCAAGUUUUUACCAAUCUUCCACGCAGAUGAAUUCUUAGGUGGUGUCACUAAUGAGU